rnacentral:lncRNA from 1 species
GCCACUGGGCCUGAGCUCCCCUGCAAGCAAGGAAGGACCUCCCUGGGGCAGAGGCUGAGAGGAAGAGCCUCCCCGGGGCAGAGGUGUGACAGCUGAGCCAGAGCCAGGGGGCAGGGGAAGGUUGGGGGGUCCCUCGGCGUGUUUGUCAGCCCUGACCUCAGUGUGGGAGAACUGUGUGUGGCUCCCACACCAGAAAGGAGAGAGACACCGGGCCAGCUGCUCCUUUGAGAAUCUGCUGCAUAUGGAGGAGCAUGAUUUUUGGAAUGAGCAUAUGGUUUUGGAACCCAAAAAUGUGUGCUGCGAUCCUGAUACCCUUAUUGCACUCUGCACUUGAUGGAUCAGCUGGCAUCAUCCAGAUCAAUAAACUGGCUCACUUGAUCUUGGCCCCCAACCCAGGAACUGACUCAGCGCAAGAAGACUGCUCCAACUCCCUAUGAUUUCAUCUCUGACCAAUCGGCACUCCUGGCUCACUGGUUUCCCCCUACCUACCAAAUUAUCCUUAAAACCUGUGCUCCCCUCCCAAAUGCUCAGAGAGACUGAUUUGAGUAAUAAUAAAACUCUGGUCUCCUGCACAGCC